rnacentral:misc_RNA from 1 species
ACAAACUUGGUCAUUUAGAGGAAGUAAAAGUCGUAACAAGGUUUCCGUAGGUGAACCUGCGGAAGGAUCAUCAUUGAAAAGAAAAAAAAAUGGUCAUUAUUUUAUGGGCCCAAGCCAGGGGAUUUUUUUAAUUUUCUGGCUUGCAAACAACAUAGAUACCCAACAAGAAAGGUGUUUCUUUUUUUGGUUGAAAAAAAAAAGGAGGGGAGGGGAGGGGGGAAGAUUCCUUCUUCUUCUUCUUUAUCGAUCAAAGGGAAACAGUUUUUUAAACAAUUUUUGGUGGUUGCCUGAUAAUCAAGUGUUUGGAAAGGAUGAAUAAAUAAAAAAACAACUUUCAACAACGGAUCUCUUGGCUCUCACAUCGAUGAAGAACGCAGC